AGAGGGGAAAAAAGGCACAUUUAAGAAACAUUAAAUCUACAGGAUCACGAUAGUAUAAGAACUGCUUAUAAGAAAAGGUUGCCGCUUUCUCAGCAUUCUGCCCCCAUCAAUAAAUAACUUAAUAAUCACUGCAUUUGGGGAAGUCUCUGAGCUCUGUGCUGGGACCUAAUUAACGCAUCUGAAGUCCAGGCAGGCACAGUCCCUGGGCUCUGCAACUAACCCUAGCGAAGGCACAUAUUUCUCCAUAUGCGCAUAACGCAAAUAGGUGCACGCGAUAGACGAACCACCGCGUGUUCACGGGUACAUUUUCCCAAGGAGACCCCAGGCGAACUCCGGAAUUGGGCACACACAACAGGAAUGCAGUCAAAGAACACAAAAGACUUUAUGCCAUUUAUGAAACCAGGUGAGUCCAUAUCUUCAUUUAUUUAUUAAGGUUUUCUUCUGCUUUUCACUAGUGAUACAAGUAUUCUUAGUCAUUAUAAUGUGAGCUCAUGACCUAUUUUGCUCUAUAUCUUGCUCUAUAUUUUGCUGAAACAUCCACCAAAUUAUUAUAAAGCAUACAUAGAAACUUAAUAAUAAUAAUAAAUAUAAUGUAUCACCUUAAGUUGCCUUAUGU
rnacentral:lncRNA from 12 species